GACGAACGCUGGCGGCGUGCUUAACACAUGCAAGUCGAACGGAAAGGCCCCUUUGGGGGUACUCGAGUGGCGAACGGGUGCGUAACACGUGAGUAACCUGCCCUUGACUUCGGGAUAACUUCAGGAAACUGGGGCUAAUACCGGAUAGGAAUCCUUGCUUCAUGGGGGGGGUUGGAAAGCUUCGGCGGUUUUGGAUGGACUCGCGGCUUAUCAGCUUGUUGGUGGGGUAGUGGCUUACCAAGGCUUUGACGGGUAGCCGGCCUGAGAGGGCGACCGGCCACAGUGGGACUGAGAUAAGGCCCAGAUUCCUACGGGAGGAAGAAGUGGGGAAUCUUGCACAAUGGGCGGAAGCCUGAUGCAGAAACGCCGCGUGCGGGAUGACGGUCUUAGGGUUGUAAACCGCUUUCAGCAGGGGCGAAGCUUGUGGUGACGGUACCUGCAGAAGAAGCACCGGCUAACUACGUG
rnacentral:rRNA from 1 species